AUUGAACGCUGGCGGCAGGCCUAACACAUGCAAGUCGAGCGAGCGGCGGACGGGUGAGUAAUGUCUGGGAAACUGCCCGUUGGAGGGGGAUAUCUACUGGAAACAGUAGCUAAUACCGCAUACCAUCAGAUGUGCCCAGAUGGGAUUAGCUAGUAGGUGGGGGAACGGCUCACCGAGGCUACGAUCACUCGCUGGUCUGAGAGGAUGACCAGCCACACUGGAACGGAGACACGGUCCAGACUCCUACGGGAGGCAGCAGUGGGGAAUAUUGCACAAUGGGCGCAAGCCUGAUGCAGCCAUGCCGCGUGUGUGAAGAAGGCCUUCGGGUUGUAAAGCACUUUCAGCGGGGAGGCGUUACCCGCAGAAGAAGCACCGACUAACUCCGUGCCAGCAGCCGCGGUAAUUC
rnacentral:rRNA from 1 species